UGUUUGUCCCAGCAGGGAACCGUGAACUUCGCCUGGCAGGGAGUAAAGGCCUCUCUGGGAGGCUACACUUAGUGAAGAGUGUGAUGGGGCUUCAGUGGGGCAGCCUGGAUAAUCCAAGACAGGUGUAGGGAAAGGAGCUCCUGCCCUGGGGCAAUAGAGAAGCAGCGAGGGUUGAUCACCUGGCCCAGCCCUGCACAGCCUAGCUCAGCACACCCAGCCCCACCUGCUCCACGGGUGACUGGACAGCAUGGGAAGGCCUCGAUCAGCUGAGCCUGCCUGGGGGGUGCAGGGCGCCUGCGGGAGCCCACAAGGACAGGGACAUCAGAACAGCGACAUCACAGGGGCCCUGGUCUGGACAAUUCCACAUCGUUGUUCUCAUCCUGCCGUGGGCAUGCGAGCCCUCUGCUGUGUAGCCCUUUGUCUCCUGCGAAUAGAGCCCACAGAUGCUGGAGUCAUCCAGACACCCAGGCAUGAGGUGACAGAAAUGGGACAUGCAGUAACUCUGAGUUGUGAACCGAUUUCAGGCCACACUGUGCUUUAUUGGUACAGACAGACCUUGGUGCAGGGAUUGGAGUUUCUGAUUUAUUUCAUCAACCAAUCUCCUACAGACAAGUCAGGGAUGCCCAAGGACCGAUUCUCAGCUGAGAUGCCUAACAAAUCAUUCUCCACUCUGAAGAUCCAGCCCACAGAACCCGGGGACUCGGCCACGUACCUCUGUGCCAGCAGAAAAGACACAGUGCUGCAGAGUCACCCCACCCCAUGCAGAAAACCUCUGCUUCCGCUUCGGGCUCCAGCCCCCAGCCAUCCUGAGUCCUGAGUGAAAGCUCCUCCCCUAGAAGCACCGGGGGUCUGGCGUUCUCCUGUCCCUAGGGAAGGCAAGAACCGAAUGUAACAAGCCAGCACAUUAGGAAACGUUUGGUGGGAAGGCAGUAGGGGCCUGGUUCCUGGCAUUUCUCACAAAUUUCUCACAGAGGGUGACAGUCCACGGCUAAGGGUAAAUGUUACCCACUGAGCUUUCAGUUUAAGAUUGAGUAAGCAUCAGAUAAACCCAGUUUGAAAAGUAUUCUACAAAAUACUUGACCGGUGAUCUUCAAAAGUGUGCAAAUCAUUAAAAACAAGAACAGACUGA